rnacentral:rRNA from 1 species
AUUGAACGCUGGCGGCAGGCCUAACACAUGCAAGUCGAGCGAGAAAGGUCUUCGGACUGAGUACAGCGGCGGACGGGUGAGUAAAGCGUAGGAAUCUACCUGGUAGUGGGGGAUAACUUGGGGAAACUCAAACUAAUACCGCAUACGCCCUACGGGGGAAAGCGGGGGACCUUCGGGCCUCGCGCUAUCAGAUGAGCCUGCGUAGGAUUAGCUAGUUGGUGAGGUAAAGGCUCACCAAGGCGACGAUCCUUAGCUGGUCUGAGAGGAUGAUCAGCCACACUGGGACUGAGACACGGCCCAGACUCCUACGGGAGGCAGCAGUGGGGAAUAUUGCGCAAUGGGCGAAAGCCUGACGCAGCCAUGCCGCGUGUGUGAAGAAGGCCUUAGGGUUGUAAAGCACUUUCAAUUGGGAAGAAAAGUUGGUCGUUAAUAGCGGCCAGCCCUGACAUUACCUUUAGAAGAAGGACCGGCUAACUCCGUG